AAAAAGACAAAUCCUAGGUUUCCUUGUCCAACAUUUUACUAUCCGUCUUAUAUGAAAUUUUUUUUAUAAUUAGUAUUUUCAUUGUUGUUAGAUGAUAAAACAUGAUUAAUACUUUAUGCGUGACUUGUCUUUUUAAUUUUUUUCAUAUUUUUUUCAAAUAAGACGGACGGUCAAACGUUGGACACGGAAACCCAGUGUUUGUCUUUUU
rfam:Oryza sativa Japonica Group DNA, chromosome 11, cultivar: Nipponbare, complete sequence.